rnacentral:lncRNA from 1 species
UUGCUUUGAUUUAACAUGUAAUUUAUAAAAACAAUAAUUCAGAAAUCGAGUAAGAAACUGUAUGACAGACCAAACUGACUAUAAAAUAAGAAUAUCGUCAUCUCGAAAACUCAAAACAAAACUCAAAACUCCUAACCUAGACUCUUUUCCUUUCUUUUCCCUCUAAUCUUUUUCCUUCUUUCUGUUACAGCUUUUCUUUUUCUUCCUGUUGCUUUCUCCCUAUUUUUUGUUUUCUCUCUAUUUCUUCUUUUCUCAAAUUUUUGUUGUUCUGUCCGUGUGUGUAUCUUCUGUCUUUUUUGAUCAGUGUCUGAUCUUUAUUUUUCAGUCUCUGUGUGUCAAAGUACAUCUUCCCCCAGUGUCUGAUGUAGUGUACGUAGUUUAAAGUACAUCUUCCCCAGUGUCUGAUGUAG